AGGACAGCACGCCGUGGUUGCGGCACCGGGCGCACUUGGGCGUCCGCUGCAGCGGAGCCCGCGGCGGCUGCGACACCGGGCCGCCCAUGUAGAGGGAGAAAGCGACUCGGGGAGAUCUUUCCCCCCACGACUGUGUGCGGGAUGAGAGGGAGGAUGAGCGCCCAUCGGCUAAGCGCACCGAGGCGGGAGGCGGAUCGUUCAUGUGCUGGGAACGGCCCGUUUUCCCGCAGCGCCAGUGGGACCUCCUGAUCCUCGCUGCCGGGGAGCGUGCACUGUACACGUAGAGUCCCGCGUCCCGCUGCACCGCGGGGCAUCGGACACACGCGUGGUCCCCGUCAGAGACAGAAAAACCCGACGCGGAGCAAAUACCCAACCACUACAAAACGGCAA